rnacentral:rRNA from 1 species
AAUGGGUCAGCGACUUAUAUUCUGUAGCAAGGUUAACCGAAUAGGGGAGCCGAAGGGAAACCGAGUCUUAACUGGGCGUUAAGUUGCAGGGUAUAGACCCGAAACCCGGUGAUCUAGCCAUGGGCAGGUUGAAGGUUGGGUAACACUAACUGGAGGACCGAACCGACUAAUGUUGAAAAAUUAGCGGAUGACUUGUGGCUGGGGGUGAAAGGCCAAUCAAACCGGGAGAUAGCUGGUUCUCCCCGAAAGCUAUUUAGGUAGCGCCUCGUGAAUUCAUCUCCGGGGGUAGAGCACUGUUUCGGCAAGGGGGUCAUCCCGACUUACCAACCCGAUGCAAACUGCGAAUACCGGAGAAUGUUAUCACGGGAGACACACGGCGGGUGCUAACGUCCGUCGUGAAGAGGGAAACAACCCAGACCGCCAGCUAAGGUCCCAAAGUCAUGGUUAAGUGGGAAACGAUGUGGGAAGGCCCAGACAGCCAGGAUGUUGGCUUAGAAGCAGCCAUCAUUUAAAGAAAGCGUAAUAGCUCACUGGUCGAGUCGGCCUGCGCGGAAGAUGUAACGGGGCUAAACCAUGCACCGAAGCUGCGGCAGCGACGCUUAUGCGUUGUUGGGUAGGGGAGCGUUCUGUAAGCCUGCGAAGGUGUGCUGUGAGGCAUGCUGGAGGUAUCAGAAGUGCGAAUGCUGACAUAAGUAACGAUAA